UACGGAGGGUGCAAGCGUUAUCCGGAUUUACUGGGUUUAAAGGGUGCGUAGGUGGGUCUGUAAGUCAGUGGUGAAAUCUCCGGGCUUAACCCGGAAACUGCCAUUGAUACUAUAGAUCUUGAAUAUCCUGGAGGUGAGCGGAAUAUGUCAUGUAGCGGUGAAAUGCUUAGAUAUGACAUAGAACACCAAUUGCGAAGGCAGCUCACUACGGGAUUAUUGACACUGAGGCACGAAAGCGUGGGGAUCAAACAGG
rnacentral:rRNA from 1 species